GUCUUAAUCUACUUCCAAACAUUUACAUUGUCCGAACGUUUUCAUGAAACUUUCAUGGCUCCUGUCCCAGUGGUUAUCCUCAGUGAUCACCGGUACAGUGGUGAGGUCUAUAAAAUUCCCUCUAUUCCUUUCUAUUGCCAAGUAAAAUUCUAUUCUGUGGAAUCCAUGACUAUUUGUUUAUCCAUUCCUCAACUGACAGACAUCUGGGUUAUUUCCAAUUUGGAGCAAUUAUGAACGCAGCUGCUGUAAACUUUUGAGUUCUCUGAGUCCAACCUUAGUCUUAGGCCCCAUGGACCUGGGCCUUGGGCUGGCUUUUCCACAACUUUUCUGCCCCUCCCUCUUCAUGUGGCACCAAACUAUGCUCUAUAUGGCUUGCAGACCUCUGCUUUGGAUAAGCGCAGAACCGUGGGCCCUAUAGUUUCUGCCCUUCCCCUAGUUGUGUAAGGCUUUUCACAUGAGAGAAAAAUCUGGGGUGGUAUGUGGGAUUUUGUGCCUGUUCCUAAGGGCAGGGUCUCAGUACCUGCACACCUGUGGAACCAAAGGGGGCUUUCUCUGGUCAACUUCUCUGUCCCCAAAAUUUCUGAUAAGUACUAAGUAAAGGUCCCUGGGAAAGAACUCAUGGAUGAGCACAGAUUUCCCUUGUGUCUGAGGCUCCCAGUUACUCUCAACUAUCCUACUGGCCCUCACUUGAUUUUUAAGAAUUAGAAAUUUUCACUAAUUUCUUCUUCUUCACUUUUUACAUGUUUAAUUUUUUUUAAUUGUGGUAAAAUACACGAUAUUACAUUUACCAUGUGAACCGUUUUUAAGUGCACACUUCAGUGACAUCCAGUACCUUCAAACCGUUGUGCAACCAUCACCACCACCCAUCUCCAGUAGUCUUUUCACCUUUCAGACUGAAACUCUGUACCCAUUAAACACUGACUCCCUAUGCCCCCAUCACCCAUCCCCUUGCAAACACCAUUCUACUUUCUGUCUCUAUGAAUUUGAGUCAGAGACACAGAAGAGAAAGCCAUGAGAUGAUGAAGAUGGAGACUGGUGGUGUGAUGAGUCUAUAAACCAACAAAUGCCAGGGACGGCCAGCAAAACUAGAAGCUAAGAGAAAGGCAUGAAGCAGAUUUUCCCCAUACAGCCUCCAAAGCCCGAAUGGCCGUGUCAACACCUUUAGACUUCUAGCCUCUAGAACUGUGAGAGAAUACAUUUCUGUUGU
rnacentral:lncRNA from 1 species